rnacentral:rRNA from 1 species
UACGUAGGGAGCAAGCGUUGUCCGGAAUCAUUGGGCGUAAAGCGCGCGUAGGUGGCCUCAUAAGUCCGCUGUGAAAGUCAAAGGCUCAACCUUUGAAAGCCGGUGGAUACUGUGGGGCCAGAGUACGGAAGAGGCGAGUGGAAUUCCUGGUGUAGCGGUGGAAUGCGUAGAGAUCGGGAAGAACACCCGUGGCGAAGGCGACAUGCUGGGUUGCACCUGACGCUGAGUUGCGAAAGUGUGGGGAGCAACGGG